CUUAGGAUCACAUUAGUGACAGACUCAAGGAUGGAAUUGUUGCUGUCACGAUCCUCCACUGCUCUUCCGAAUGGUUGUCUGAAAGCUCUUUUCCCACUCCUUCCCUGAAGAGGUACAGCAGAAGAGAAUUACUGACCACGCUUGUCAGCGUAUUAGAGCUGGAAGAGUGGGAAAGUGUAGCUGCAUGCUAGCUUUGCUCUGUUCCCGUGCCAGCAGUGCCACAGCAUAGAGCCAGUCUACUCCGCUGACGGCUGCAGCCUUCCUGGACCCCAGGAUGUGAUGACUGUGGGGACCCUGUAUGCAGUAUGCAGUGGCUCCCAAGACGGACUACUGUCUCCAUUGCCAUUUUCUCAGGCAGGUCUGAGGGAAAUGCAGUGAGAUGAAGCCUCCAAGGGAACCAAGCAGCAUACUACGGAGUGUCCUGCACUGUGUAGUGGGUUGUGACCGCACACAGGAAGGGCCUUGUCAUCCCCAAACCCUGUGGCAGGGUCACCCUCUUCACCAUUGCUCACUCGUCCCUCACAUUCCCAGAGGGUAAUGCUCAACAUGCCGAUGGGUGGUAGAGACCUCUGCUGUGCUUGAAUGUGAGCUCUUGUAUGUUAAAUCUGAGAGGCUUGAGGUACCAUCUGCCUAUCAUGAAUGAAUUCCCAUAAUUUUGGAAUGCCAUCCUGACUUGAGACUGGUCUGAUGAAAGAAGAAAGAAUUUGAAUGACCCCUGAUAUUGCCAUCUAUUGCAGACUCAACACACUUCAGUGCACUGAGUAAUAUGCCCUGAGACAGUCUGCCUGUUCUGGAAGCUAAGAAUGGCUAUAGUGGUAUUAAGACCUGGGCAAUAAACCCAUCAAUAGGGUUACAUGUGAAUCUGGUGGACUGGUGGGGCAGGGAUGUCCAGUGUCAUGGCAGGUAUGACUGGAAUUCUGCAACUGUUGUCUACAGCUCAUCCAUGCCCCCUAGAUCCAUGCCAGGUUAAGGUCCAGGAUGACACUAAUAGAGAAGAAAACUGCAGAACUGCUUGUGCCCAACUGUAACCAAGAGAUGUGACUACUGGAUGCUUCCUGUCUGUGCUUUUUUUUUUUUUUAAGGUUUUUUGUUUUGUUUUAAAGAAAACUUGUGUGUAUGAGUGUUCUGCCUGGGUGUAUAUCCAGGUACCAUGUGUGUGCCUCGUGCCCACAGAGGUCAAAAGAGGGCAUCAGAUCUCUUGGAACUCGAAUUAUGGACAGUUGUGAGCUGCAUUGUAUGUUCUAGAAACCAAACUCUGUAAGAACAAGGGCUCCUAGUCAGCUCCUUGCAUGUAACUUUUCACGGGAGUACCUUAGAUACAGGUUCUGAUGAA